GCGCGAAAAACUUUACAAUGCGGGAAACCGUGAUAAGGGGACACCGAGUGCCAGCAUCAUAUGCUGGCUGUCCAGAUGUGUAAAAUACAUCUGUUAGCAAGGGCCGGGCAAGACCGGUGCCAGCCGCCGCGGUAACACCGGCGGCCCGAGUGGUGAUCGUGAUUAUUGGGUCUAAAGGGUCCGUAGCCGGUUUGGUCAGUCCUCCGGGAAAUCUGAUAGCUCAACUAUUAGGCUUUCGGGGGAUACUGCCAGACUUGGAACCGGGAGAGGUAAGAGGUACUACAGGGGUAGGAGUGAAAUCUUGUAAUCCCUGUGGGACCACCUGUGGCGAAGGCGUCUUACCAGAACGGGUUCGACGGUGAGGGACGAAAGCUGGGGGCACGAACCGGAUUAGAUACCCGGGUAGUCCCAGCCGUAAACGAUGCUCGCUAGGUGUCAGACAUGGCGCGACCGUGUCUGGUGCCGCAGGGAAGCCGUGAAGCGAGCCACCUGGGAAGUACGGCCGCAAGGCUGAAACUUAAAGGAAUUGGCGGGGGAGCACAACAACGGGUGGGGCCUGCGGUUU
rnacentral:rRNA from 1 species